AUGAGAGAAAGUAGUCAAAGAGUAAAUUGAGUGUCCAUAAUUAAGAAUGAUAAUUAAAAGAAGCAGAAGAAUAGAGUAAGAGCGACAGACAAGUUCACAAGUGAGAGAGGAAUAAUUGCAAGCGGAGAAGGAGUCAAAGAAUAGGAGAAUACAGUAACGAGUCAAAAAACAAAUCAGGCGAAGAAAACAACAAUCAAAAGUACAAGAAGUACAGCGAGCGAAAUGAGCAUUAAAGCACAUAAAGAUUACCAAUGAUCAAAAAAAGGACAGAUAGAAUUAGGAGAAAAAGGGUAGAUGGUGAGAGUAACAACAGUAAAGAGAGACAUAAAAGAAAAACGAAAAAAGAGAGAGAGCGACAAUAAUAACUAGAAGAGAAUGAGGACUCACGAACGCAAAAGAAAUAGAGAGGCAACAAGUUGAGACAGAGAAAAGAGCGUGAUAUAAUCGAGAAGAGAUGAGCAAGAGAAAAAUAGCAAGGACAUAGUAAGAUUAGGAGACUAACAGAGGACAAAUAAGGAGAUAGAGAGAGGGUCGAGUAGUAAGAAGCAGGAGAGGGGAAAGGUCAUAAGACAUGAAGGAGUAAGACGAAACGAUACCCGCUGAACUUAAGCAUAUCAAUAAGCGGAGGAAAAGAAACUAACAAGGAUUCCCCUAGUAACUGCGAGUGAAGCGGGAAAA
rnacentral:rRNA from 1 species